AACCAGGUAGCAUUCCUCGCCGACGUCGAUCGGCGUGCUGCGAUCCGUAAGGAGCCCACCACAACCGAAACGAACGUCGUUCGCACGUAGCGCCGAACGCUUUGUUCCGAGGGGCAAAUAGAGGCCGAGGCCUCGUGCCCACAACAUGUUCCGCAUCCGAGAUUUCGAGCAUUACACAUUGGCUGACUACCCGAGCGCAUGCCCACACACCCACGGGUGCCAACCACGACGCAUGCUAUGUGUUUCAAACCGCACCACGACACCAACAGGCGACGCAGAGCAUAAUGAAAAGGGGAUGAUUUUGUCGACGUAAUGCCUCAAAGAGAGGUAUCGAGCACAGGAGGCCGCAAUCGGAGAGGGCUUCGGAGCCCUUUCGCCGAUGACUGAAGAGGCACGGUUGGGAUGC
rnacentral:misc_RNA from 1 species